AGUUAUAUUUUCAUCCUGAGACUCAUGCUUCUGGCAUUGCAUAAAGCCAUUUAAGUAGCCAACCAAAAGAUAUCCAUUGCCUCCCAUUGCCCGUAUCUUUGCCAGAUCCCUUCUGGGGGUGCGUGGUGCUGCCAGCGUCGUCAUAGUGCUGUACGCAGGAAGGGCAGAGAGAGGGCAGGCCAAAUUCCCCAAAUCCUAGCCCUGGUGACAGUCACCUUGGCCCCACCAGUGGUUUGCAGAUACCCUGCUCAGGCCGUCCCCGCAAAGACUUUUCCUUUCCCUGUGCGUUCUCCGGGCAGCAGUAACAAGGCCGAUAGGCAGAGCGCUGAGAGUUGCUAAGGUGAUGAUGAUUCCUUUAGGGCACUUGCAUGUGGUAUUAAGGCACGUGCUCUGCUCAGUUGCUGGUUUAGAUCUGGUGCGCCUCUGUGUUUUACAGUAGUUAGAGGAGUUAUGUGUGUCAGGUGGUGACUGAGGUAACACACUUGCUUGCCCCUGGAAUCUUGUUUUUGCCCUAGGUUAAGAAUACAUUUGGGUGAGGACUGAAAAACCUAAUCUGAAUUAACCCCAAGUUAAAGUUACUUUCCUUCACUCUAGCAGUGGCUAGUCUAUGUCGGGAGGGGAAUUGCAGCAGUUUUAUCUAUCACGUGCCCUACUGCAAGCAAGAGAGAAACCCAGGGGAUUUUCUUGCCGUUUUAGAUCGCGAUGGAAACGAGAGGAGCUCCCUCUAGAGAGGGAGCUAAAAUAGGGUAAACAGAUAUGCUUGUUAUCACAGUCUGAACUAUAUUGUUAAACUAUUUUUCUAUUACAGUUCACGAUCUGCAGAGCUUCGGACUUGAUAAUAUCAAUAUGACGCACUAUAUCAAACAUCUCUCAUUUGGAAGGGAUUAUCCAGGCAUUGUGAACCCUCUGGAUGGGACGGACGUCACUGCACAGCAAGCUUCCAUGAUGUUUCAGUACUUUGUCAAAGUGGUCCCCACGGUGUAUAUGAAAGUAGAUGGUGAAGUAAGUACCUUUUUUCCCCUAUUGCUUUGGCAAGUGAAAGCCUUCAGACUUUCUCCUCAAUUCUGACGCUGACCGUAUCUGACCUCUGGUGGAAGCAACACAAUCUGUUUGACUUUCUUCAUAUAACCACCCCGGCAAGAAUAACGGUAUCGAUGGUGUAAUGUUAUCCGUAAUGUUGCCGCAGCGAUGAAGCAGAUUUCAGUCUCCUCCAUCCCACCUAGAUCAAAGUGACCAUGCCAUUUUCAUCAUGUUCCCUCAGGAGAAGUCAAAGCAGCAGGGAGAUCCUAAAAAUGUUCUUUGGAGAAUAACCCAAGAUCAGCUUGUCUCCGAUUUAAAAACUCCUUUAGCCUCCAAAAGAGCGUGGCUAGAUUUCCAGCCCUGCUUUCAGACUAUGUCCUUCUUUUGGGACAGGUAGGAUAAACAAAUUACCGAGGAGAUACCAGGGUGAGAGGAAGAUCCUGAGAACAGAGACAAACUUAUGCUCUCUUCUGAAGGCAGCCUGAGGGAGUUGAAAGAAUUGUGAUUUCUUCCAUUCAUUUGGAAGGGUUUAUUUUGGUUGCCGUCAUUCUGCAGGGGACCUCAAGAGCUACAGAGAACCUCUUUUUAAAAAACAACACAAAACAAAACAAACCUGUCAGUUAUCAUUACUUGGGCCCCCAUAGUCUUAGGGCAGCAGAAUGAUGUAAGCUGUUGUGUUUCUUUUGCAAAGAAAACACCAGCAGAGGCAGCAGCUCUACUGUUGUGCGGACUUCACCACCAGUGCUACCCAGCGUACUUAUCUAACCCUGUGAGGAAGAGACAGGCGCCACAUGCCCCAGUACCUCUGUGAACAUUCACGUACAAGAUGGCUUAGCUCCCUAGCUGUCUCCGAGGUUUUGGUUCUGCAUCUUGUACGCUGCAUGGGUGGUCCAUGUUUCACUUUGACACCAAACCAGCUUCCUCUGAGGUGAAACCCAAGUGUCGUUCUGGGGCUCGUUCAGUGCAAGGACU